CCGUAGCCCACGUACUUUGGGCUGGACUAAUCAUUUUUUAGCCCACACAAAAAAUGGACUAGCCCAACCUGAUCUGUCAAAUUCAAAGCCCUAGGUUAACUCAGAUGGGAUGUGGCUAGCCUAUAUUAACAGUCCUAGGUCUAACAAUUUUGCCGAAUCCCUAAUGGUAGCUGAUGCAAGGGGUCAUAUCAUUAUCAUCACAGCAGUAGUUACUCACCUCAUGUAUGGGCAACACUAAUUGCUGGAGUAUUCAUUGUCAUCUCUCUCACACUCUCUAUGUACCUUACAAAAAUCCGGAGGAACAAAUGUUUUUGAUUGGUGUGAUUUUGAUGGUGCCUUGUUAUGCAGUUGAAUCAGUUCGUUUCUUACGAUCAUCCCUUAUGCAUAUUACUUUUGCAAAAUUGUGAGUGGAGGGACUUGAUUUUAGGUAGACACAAAGGUUCCUUCAAAUCCUUGGUCAUCUACCCGGCUAGUCGGCUACCCCCGAGCUUUUCUGAUGUGUGCCCACAUUUCCCUGACAAACGUGCACACCACUUCCUCUGGUGGAGGAAAUAUAUUAUAAAACUUCAAUGAAUAUGGGACACAAGAAUGACGGUGGAGUUGCUAUGGUUUUGUUGAAGCAAAAAAUUCUAAAAAGCCUAUUGUUAAGACGUACCAAAAAGGAAAGAGUUGCUAAUUUUUCACUUCCCAGUAAGACUGUUAUCAUGAGAAAAGAUCCUUUGGAUGUGAGUGAAUUUAACUACUACAAGUCAUUGCACUAUAGAAGUCGGGAACAGUUUGAUUGACUAGUCUACGCUGGAACUCUGAUGAAUAACUAUGGUCACAUUUUUGCUGUGAUCACACGCCUUCGGAAUGUACCAACAUUCCUACUCCUCAUUCUUUUUCUUACAACACUCCUACUCAUGACCCUUAUGAUUUGGUCACACAAUCUCUGUCCAGUUUUCUUUUCUUGCAAAAAUUCAUUUUCUGUUCUCUCCCAUAAUCCUUUUUUAAUGACAAUACAUUUCUUAUGUGCGCAUAGAUAAGAAGCUGAGGUACUGAGUGAAUUGAGAAGGCCUACAACCAUGUGAAUUGAGAAGGACUCGAGGGUGAAACAAAAUAAACUAGGAUUUCUUUGCAAGCUCGACAUUGAGAAGGCCUACGACCAUGUGAAUUGGAAUUUCCUCCUCAAAGUGUUGAGCGAUAUGGGGUUUGGCGACAAAUGGGUCAACUGGAUUAAAUUUUGCAUGUUCAUUGUGAAAUUUUCACUCAUAAUUAUGGUAAUCCAGAGGGUUCCUUUCAAUCACAAAGAGGUCUGCGACAAGGUGACCCCAUGUCACCUUUUCUGUUCAUUCUAGCUAUGGAAGGCCUAAACUUCAUGAUUAGAAAAUAUAGGGAGAAUGGAUGGAUCAGAGGUUUCUGUGCUAACAUAAAUAUGAAAAAUGCUAUGGAGAUAUCUCAUCUACUGUAUGCAGAUGACUCCCUUGUAUUUUGUGAUGUAGAAGUUACACAAAUAAGGCAUCUGAGAGUUAUCCUAACAAUCUUUGAGGGCAUUUCGGGACUUCAUGUCAACUGGCACAAAUGCUGCCUCUAUUCAGUGAACCAAGUCCCUAGUAUACAGAUCCUAGCUGAGAAUCUAGGAUGCCUAGUGGCCUCCCUUCCCACUACAUACCUAGGAAUGCCUCACGGAGCAAAAAUGAAAGAGCUCACUUUUAAUUUUAUUGAAUGUAGAGGGAAAUUAGGUUCAUGGUUGAAAGGGACGGUUCUGCAAAAGAAAUAGUUUUCAGCCAUUUCACUUCAUUUUUGGAUCUGAUACAGUAUUCUCUUAAUGUGUGAUAUAAUGAUAUUUUCUCCUUCCUACUUUCCAUUCCUCUUUUCAGUCUGAUAAAAAAAUGAAGGUUGUAUUGUGUGUAUUCAACUGUUGGGCAUCAAUUGUGUUCAAUUAAUUGGAUCGAUGUCUAUUGUCGCAAGAGAUGCUGCAGUUAACACAUUCACUGAUGAUAAGUGCUAGUGCUCCUAGAUGUUUGAUGAUAUCCUCACAAGUGCAUGGACCCGUCUCUUUGCAAAGUAUGAAUACUCGUCCAAUGGCGAAAUGCUGUAAAGCUGUAAAAACUAUUUGCGGCAGAAAGUUGGUGAAGGCGCAGGGUAUUGCACCAAUCAUACGCGACGAGGUUGUUUGUUCGUUGGAUAAUAAUUCUUCAUGGUAUAUAUCCUAUGACAAACAACAAGACAGGGUGUUCAAACAUCAGGGACCUUAUAGAGUGUUUCGUUUGCUUUCUGUAUCAGUUGUUACUAUUGUUGCUUGUAAUUGUGCUUAUAUUUUAGGAUUUGUUUCACUUGUGAUAGAAACGUUUCUAGUAUGUUUGAAUCAUUGUAAGAUCUAGGUUAAGAGUAACUUAGGGUCUUACUGUAAAUUCUAUAUUAAUUAGGCAAGAUUAGUAUAAUGGACGGUGUUGUAUCUACUAUGACUCGUCUAAGUAUUAGGUGGUAUUGCUUAGUGUGGAGAUUAGCAGGUUUAUCUCAUUUUGUAAACUGACUUUUGUUUUUGCUUUGAGAAGAUUUGUGGAAGCAGUUUGAAAAUUCUUGGUAGACAGGUCGUGAUUUACUCCCUUGAGCAAGGAGGUUUGUUUCCACGUAAAGUUGUUUGUGCAAUCUUUACUUUCAGCACUUAUUUUAUUGUUUGUUAUUAUAACUGUGCUGAGUACAUGCUCCCAUCAAAACCUGUGGACGCAUAAAUUCCAACAACUGAGGAUUCAAAUUGCAAGAUAUUACUUAUGAGUUUAAAAGCUAGAGCUGUUGCUCUCAAUCUUACAGUUGCAUCAAAUGUUUUAUUAAUGGAGCCUUGUGGAAUCCUGUGGUGGAGCCGCAAGCCCAAGAUAGAAUCCAUCAAAUAGGGCAAUAUAAACCUGUCUGAAUUGUGAUAGAAAUACAAUUGAAGAGAACAUCAUAGAGUUACAAGAGAAGAAGAAAUUACUUUUUGAAGGGACAGUCUGUGGUUCUUCAGAGGCCUUAGGAAAAUUAACAUGGAGAGUCCCUUAAACUUGCAAAUAAAUUUCAUUUAGUCACUUGUUACUUAGCUGAAGUUUAAUUUUAUAGCCUUUCAAGGUCUAAGAACUUAGAGCAACUUCCAAGUUGCUCAUUGUCAUCUUGAAUAUAACAUGUAAACUCUUUAAAUGCCAUUAACUUGUGUUGAACGGAUUUAAAUACUUCUUACUUAGGGAAGAAAACUUAAAUAUGCCAUCUAAAUUUCAGAAAAAAAGCUCAUUUAUGUCCUUCAUUAAAAGUUUGGCUCAUUAUGCCAUGCCGUUUAAGAAAAGGCUAAUCCAUGCCAUUAUUCUUUAACUCUGGUAUUGCAAAAUCGUUUUUAUCUCAACAAGACCCCAAACAACUUGUAACACUUUUUAAUUGAGGUUUUAAAUCAAAUGUACUCUUUUUACUUCUUCCUAGUCAAGAACACAUGAAGAACGUCAAAGAAACUUCCAAAUUUCCAACUUCUUCAAUUCUAACUGAAAAAUGUCAAAAGUUGUUUACGUCUUGUUGAGGAAAAAAAUAAUUUCAUGAAAGAACCUUUUUUCAAAUAACAAUGACAAUGAGCCAAACUUUUAAUAUGGGACAUAAAUGAGUCUUUUCUCAAUAUCUAAUGACAUAUUUAACGUUUUCCCUUUUCUUUACAACAAUGUAUGGAUCAAUUUCUAAAUAACUAUUUCGAAAAAGAAUAGGUUUGUUGGAAAGGAUAGUUUACUUUUAUUUUACUUUAGUUCACUAAAUAUUGUUGGAUAUCAAGUUCUAAACAUAAAUAUGUUACAGUAGGCAAAAAGUCCUACAUUGAUUGUGAAAUGGACGGAUAUUCUGUUUAUAUGGAGUUGGGCAAUUUUUCUCCUCAUGAACUAGAUUUUGGAGUUGAGUUAGUUGCAAGUGUUAUAUCUUUAUAUGGUAUCAGAGCCAGAUCCAUCCCAAAAUCAACCCUUUUGGGCUCCCAGUCUACGCUCUAGUCGGGCCUUUUGGGCUCUCGGUCCACUUUCCACUUGGGCCUGGGCAUGAGGAGGUGGUUCCCUUUUGGACUCUCGUCCCACGCUCCAAUUGGGCCUUUUGGGCUUUCGGUCCAUGUUCUAGCUAAUCCUGGGCGUGAAGGGAUGGUUAAAGUGGGUAAAAGGUCCAAAUUGAUUGGCAAAUGACCUAGUAGUCUGAUUUCUCUGUGCUUUCUGGGGAAAUGAAUCCUCCAAUUCCGGGUUCGUCUUCUUGUUUGUUUUCUUUUGAAGCUCUUGAGUUUCUUGAAAGUUCGGUUGAAAUUGAAUUAUUUUGAAUGACCCAAAAUGGAAAAUAAUGAAUGACAUGUAAAUCGGAAUAGCAUGUGAAUAGGUUCAUCAUGUUGUGCCCUAGUUUUGAGUUGUUAUCUUUAAUUUUAUCCUAUUUUUUAUUUAUUCCUGUCAAAUUCCAUAUGGAUGCUCCAUCUUGAAAUGCUAAUGCUCAUAAAUGUUUUGAAUUGAUCGUGUAAUUUUCUAAUAAAAUUGAUUAUUGUUCGUGUUACUGAAGACCUAAGAGACGAAAAUACGGAUUCAGAUCGUAGAUACCGAGACAUGUUGAGAAGGAUAGAUCAAAGGAGAAAUCAACGUGAGUGGAUGCAAAACAUAAGAGGAUUAGUUUUGACAUGGAAGAUAAUGGAACAAGAAAUGAAUGAAUUCCUUUUGGAGAAUUAUUCAGAUGGUUUAGACUUGGAUAUUCAGAAUGUGUCACUUGCUGAAACUGCCGAGCCACCAUCAGAUUUCCUCUUGCCACUAUUGAGGUACCAAAAGGAGUGGUUGGCUUGGUCAAUAAAGCAAGAAACAAUAUUCAAAGGGGGCAUUCUUGCGGAUGAAAUGGGUAUGGGGAAGACGGUUCAAGCCAUAGCACUUGUUCUUGCUCAACGGGAAUUAAAGAAGGCAACUAAUGGUUCCACUAUAUUGUUGUCUUCACCUGGUACUUCCCAGGAACUCCCAACAAUAAAAGGAACUCUUGUUGUAUGUCCUUUGAUUGGAGCAAUGCAAUGGAUUCAUGAGAUUGAACGUUGCACCACUAGAGGAAGCAACAAAAUUCUUUUUUAUCAUGGCACCAAUAGGGAGAAAUGUAUGUACAAACUGAAGGAAUAUGACUUUGUAAUUACUACAUACUCCACUCUCCAGGCUGACUAUAUGCCAAAAAAGAAAAAGCAGAACAGCAGUGUUGGUGAAGAUGUGUCCACGAGGAAUUCAGUUCUGCAUUCAGUGAAGUGGGAUCGUAUCAUUUUGGAUGAGGCAAGUCAUACAUUCAUAGAUUCAUGCUUUAAGUUUUUGUUUUCGUAACUUGGCAUU